UACGGGGGGGGCAAGCGUUGUUCGGAAUUACUGGGCGUAAAGGGUUCGUAGGUGGCCGACUAAGUCACACGUGAAAUCCCUCAGCUUAACUGGGGAACUGCGUCUGAUACUGGUCGGCUUGAGUGCAGGAGAGGAACGCGGAAUUCCAGGUGUAGCGGUGAAAUGCGUAGAUAUCUGGAGGAACACCGGUGGCGAAGGCGGCGUUCUGGACUGCAACUGACACUGAGGAACGAAAGCCAGGGGAGCAAACGGG
rnacentral:rRNA from 1 species